rnacentral:rRNA from 1 species
GAUGAACGCUAGCUACAGGCUUAACACAUGCAAGUCGAGGGGAAACGACAUCGAAAGCUUGCUUUUGAUGGGCGUCGACCGGCGCACGGGUGAGUAACGCGUAUCCAACCUGCCCAUCACUUGGGAAUAACCUUGCGAAAGUAAGACUAAUACCCAAUGAUAUCCCACGAAGGCAUCGGAAUGGGAUUAAAGAUUUAUCGGUGAUGGAUGGGGAUGCGUCUGAUUAGCUUGUUGGCGGGGUAACGGCCCACCAAGGCAACGAUCAGUAGGGGUUCUGAGAGUAAGGUCCCCCACAUUGGAACUGAGACACGGUCCAAACUCCUACGGGAGGCAGCAGUGAGGAAGAUUGGUCAAUGGGCGAGAGCCUGAACCAGCCAAGUAGCGUGCAGGAAGACGGCCCUAUGGGUUGUAAACUGCUUUUAUAAGGGAAUAAAGUGGGUCACGUGUGACUUUUUGCAUGUACCUUAUGAAUAAGGACCGGCUAAUUCCGUG